UACGUAGGGUGCAAGCGUUGUCCGGAAUUAUUGGGCGUAAAGAGCGUGUAGGCGGCCCGACCAGUCCGCUGUGAAAGUCCAGGGCUCAACCCUGGAAUGCCAGUGGAAACUGUCGAGCUAGAGUCCGGAAGAGGCGAGUGGAAUUCCUGGUGUAGCGGUGAAAUGCGCAGAUAUCAGGAGGAACACCAAUGGCGAAGGCAGCUCGCUGGGACGGUACUGACGCUGAGACGCGAAAGCGUGGGGAGCAAACAGG
rnacentral:rRNA from 1 species